rnacentral:rRNA from 1 species
AAUGAACGUUGGCGGCGUGGAUUAGGCAUGCAAGUCGAGCGAGAACCCAGCAAUGGGGGACAGCGGCGCAAGGGACAGUAAUGUGUAGAUCAUCUGCCCUCAGGACCGGGAUAGCCGCGGGAAACUGCGGGUAAUACCGGAUAACAUCCCCGGAUCAAAGGUGUGAUUCCGCCUGAGGAUGAGUCUGCAUCCUAUUAGCUAGUUGGUAGGUAACGCCUACCAAGGCAAUGAUGGGUAGCGGGUGUGAGAGCACGACCCGCGUCAUUGGGACUGAGACACUGCCCAGACACCUACGGGAGGCAG